rnacentral:lncRNA from 1 species
AUAACAUAAAUCUUGAGAGAAAAAAAGAACUUAAUUUAAUAGCCGAAUUUUUGAUCCUGAAUUUUUAAUUGGUGAACGUAUAAUAUCCAUAUAAAUCACGUAUCUAAAUAAUUGGCUAAUCAGUUUUUUAGCCGUAUUUUUUUACGAAUUUAAAAAUUAGAAGACAAAUUUUAUCCGAAUUAUAUCCGUACCGAAUUUUUGCCGAAUCCAAAUUAAAUAAC